ACAUAAUUAGCUUAGUUGGGUAAAAAACAUCACAAGAACCUUGGUUAGCUCAUAACUUAGCGUAUCUUCCUCCUAAAUCACAUAAUAAGCUCAAAAGAAGAAAAGUAUUGUAAUCAUCCUCUUACUCUUCCUCUCAUUCUUCUUCUUCUUCUUCUUCUUCUUCUCCUUCUUCUUCUCCUCCUCCUUCUUCUUCUUCUUCUUCUUCUUCUCCUCCUCCUCCUCCUCUUUCUUCUCCUUACCUUAUUUUACCCAACAAAGACAUAAUUAGCUAAUUUAUAUCCAAAAUGACAUAAUUAGCUAGUUUAACUCCAAAAUGAUAUAAUUAGCUUAGUUAGGUAAAAACAUCACAAGACCCUUGGUUAGCUCAUAACUUAGCGUAUCUUCUUCCUAAAUGACAU
rnacentral:lncRNA from 1 species